UACGUAGGUGGCGAGCGUUGUCCGGAUUUAUUGGGCGUAAAGAGCUCGUAGGCGGCUUGGUAAGUCAGGUGUGAAAUCUCCACGCUCAACGUGGAGGGGCCACCCGAAACUGCCAUGGCUUGAGUCCGGUAGGGGAGUGUGGAAUUCCCGGUGUAGCGGUGAAAUGCGCAGAUAUCGGGAGGAACACCCGUAGCGAAGGCGGCACUCUGGGCCGGUACUGACGCUGAGGAGCGAAAGCGUGGGGAGCAAACAGG
rnacentral:rRNA from 1 species